UCUCAAGAACACAGACCAGCUUCACCUACCUGUAGCGAUGUUUCUGAGAUAAGUCACAGGUCCAAGGAAGAACCAGAGGACUUCAGGAGUAAUCCAACGAGGGCUGAAGAACACAGACCAGCUUCAUCUACCUGUAGCGAGAUUUCAGAGAAAAGUUACAGAUCCAAGGAAGAACCAGAUAACUUAAGGAGUAAUCAAACGCGCCUGUCUGAAGAACACAGACCACAUUCACCUACCUGUAGCGUUGUUUCUGAGAUAAGUCACAGGUCCAAGGAAGAACCUUGGAACUUCAGGAG